AUUGAACGCUGGCGGAAUGCUUUACACAUGCAAGUCGAACGGUAGAGGGGGCAACCCCUCGAGAGUGGCGGACGGGUGAGUAAUAUAUCGGAACGUGCCCAGUCGUGGGGGAUAACGUAGCGAAAGUUACGCUAAUACCGCAUACGAUCUAAGGAUGAAAGCAGGGGAUCGCAAGACCUCGCGCGAUUGGAGCGGCCGAUAUCAGAUUAGGUAGUUGGUGGGGUAAAGGCUCACCAAGCCAACGAUCUGUAGCUGGUCUGAGAGGACGACCAGCAAAACUGGAACUGAGACACGGUCCAGACUCCUACGGGAGGCAGCAGUGGGGAAUUUUGGACAAUGGACGCAAGUCUGAUCCAGCCAUUCCGCGUGCAGGAUGAAGGCCCUCGGGUUGUAAACUGCUUUUGUACGGAACGAAGAGGUCUCUCUUAAUACGGGGGGCUCAUGACGGUACCGUAAGAAUAAGCACCGGCUAACUACGUGCCAGCAGCCGCCGUAA
rnacentral:rRNA from 1 species